CCAAGGAGUCUAACAUGUGCGCGAGUCAUUGGGUCUUGUUCAGGCCCAGAGGCGCAAUGAAAGUGAAGGACGCCCCAGUCGGUGUCUGCGUUGGGAUCCCGGGGCAAUUCGUCCCGGGCGCACCAACGGCCCGUCCCGUCCGCCACGUCGGUGGGACGGAGCGAGAGCGUACACGUUGGGACCCGAAAGAUGGUGAACUAUGCCUGGGCAGGACGAGGCCAGAGGAAACUCUGGUGGAGGUCCGCAGCGAUUCUGACGUGCAAAUCGAUCGUCAGACCUUGGUAUAGGGGCGAAAGACUAAUCGAACCGUCUAGUAGCUGGUUCCCUCCGAAGUUUCCCUCAGGAUAGCUGGUGCUCGAUCGGAAUCAGUCUCAUCCGGUAAAGCGAAUGAUUAGAGGCCUUGGGGCCGAAACGACCUCAACCUAUUCUCAAACUUUCAAUGGGUGAGAAGUCCGGUUUACCCGACUGAAGCCCGGACGAUUCUCAGGAUGUGAGUGCCCAGUGGGCCACUUUU
rnacentral:rRNA from 1 species